rnacentral:lncRNA from 1 species
UCCGUUAGCCUUUUCUCCAUCUCCUCUAAUUCUGGUAGCAUCUUUGGACCCCUAACACUUGGCAUCUGCUACUUCAGACAAACAAACCCUAUGUAAAUGACAAAGAAGGGGCCUCCCAACCUUCUCCCUGUGUUACUAUUUCAGAAGCACUACUCGGGGCACAGUGGUACAAAUUUCUUAUGGCCACUAGCAUCUUUUUUCAAUUUUCAAAGUAAUCAUCAAACAUCUGGGUCAAUUAUACUUAAAUUACAGAAGCACGGAAUUUUAGGCAACAGGCCCCUCAUUUUACCUCAGAGAUUAAGUGACUUGCUCAACAUCACACAGCCUAGUAAAUGGAAGUCUUGCAACCAAACUUGAGCCCCAUUCCUCAGUGAGUAAUCCUGAGUGUGUGUACGACAAGAUAAAUACAAAUAAUCGUGUUGUGUUCUUUACCGAAGAGAAAAUGAGGAUCAGCACUCUAAAAUAUCAUUUAGCUCUAUAGGGUUCCAGGCUAUUCUGGUCCUGUUUUAAGUGAAUAGGAAUUUGUACAUUACAUAAACAAAGCCAAAUUUUCAAAUAAGGAAUUAAGACAAAUGCAGCAGCAUAGGAGAUGUUUGUGCUAAAAAAAAAAAAAAAAAGACUGUGCCUCUUUUUAUCUCAGAAAUACUUCAUAUACAUUUUCUUAACUUGAAAAGGAAAGCUAAAUUUGAUUAAGCACAUGUCUGCAUAUCACAUGAGCCUUCUACUACUAUAGAAGAGACUGGAAACCAAAAGAAAUGCCACAUAUUUCAUGGUGUGAAUCAGUUUCUUUCCAAAUGACACUUCCUUUGAAAAGGCAUAAAUUUGGAAUUUGACUUUUGGAUAAUGCUGUUUUUCAAUUUUCAAAUAUAAUUGUGAUGUAAUUGAUCUAAUCUGCAUUUCAAAGCUGCUAAAGCUGAGUUUACCACCAAAACUAAGCACAAGAUCUCCUUUUAUGGACCAAAAUAAAGAGCAGUGUACUGAAAUAUUAGAUAAGCUUUUGUUCUUUUCUUCAAAUAUUUGCAUGAAUUAUUCAGGCUUUAUAUGGAUAGAGCUUUGAAAUAUUCAAAUUCCUUGAGCUAUUUCCUUAUGUAAGAUUCAUAUUUAUUAAAUCCUGUAGCAUGUACUUUUCCUGUGAAAGUACAGAUUCAGUUCCAUUAUGAUUUCUUCAGCAGAGAUCCUACACACAGCAGAGAGUCUCAGGUGGUGGAGGAGAUACAAAGAUAUGCAAAACAAUCUUCAAGGAUCUUACACAUAAGGGGGAAUACAAAGCCAUAAAAUACUUGCAAACCACAAGUUAUAGAGUUUCCAAAGAGAAAGAGAUAUCUUCCAGCCAAGGUCUAAAGGAAAACCUUCAGAGAGAAGCUGGCAUUUCAGAUGGGCCCUGAAGAACUAAAAUGAAUUUCACAAGUAGGGGAACAGUAAAAUGAGGGGGCUGAGAUCUCAACUUCGCCCAUGCUCCUGUUUCCAUCUUUGAAAUCUCUUUUAGAUAUGACAACCCAUGCAGUCAACUUCCCAGCUAUGUUGCCAGCCCCUUAAUUCUGCCUCUCUUCCUGGUAAACACAUUCUGACUAUCCCAGGAACCCCCUUUCUGAGGGCUACCCUUCUACUCCUUCCCCACAAAGAUGCCCCCUUCAGCUCUUCUGGGUGUCACAAACAACACUAAUGAAGCAAGAAAGAGUAGUAGUGACAGUCUCAUCAGAAUCCUCAACCCAUACCCCUGCUUCCUCCCCAUUGAGUCCUGCGUGGUGAAAGAUGCCAUCCAAAGUUAGAAACCUGGCGACGAACGUGGCCAUGCGAUCUCAACUCUCACUUAACAAUACUUCUGUGACUCCUCAAAUUAUAUUUCUCAACUGGGCACUCACUAUCAUAAGAACAGCACCAACACGAUAGUGCUAAACCAUUCAUGAGAAAUACGUCCCCAUGAUCUUGUCACUUCCUGCCAGGCUCCACCGCCAACACUGGGGAUUACAAUUCGACAUGAGAUUUGGUGGGGACACAGUUCCAAACCAUACCACCCCUCUAUCUGGAAUACAACUCCAUCCUUCCCUGGGUUGUCCUGAGAGUCCCUACUCAUCCUUUAGGUUUCAGCUCAAUUAAAUUCUUUUCUUUUGAACAGUUUCUUGCUCUUCUAAAGUAAAUCCAUUACCCAGAACACAUAAACACAAAGUCUUUAAACUUUGCUCAUUCAUCAGAGAAUUCUUCCUCCUUGGUGUCAGAGAGAGGGCAGCAAAGAAAGCUGUGAAUAUUUAUAAGGUAAGUUUUGUUAUUGGGGCAGGGGAUGUGGGAAGAAUCCAUAUCACAAAUUUUGAACACAAAUGAGUCCAAAUAUUGCCACAUUUAACUGUCCUGCUUCUCUGGAAGAAUACCAAAAUGGUCCAAAAGAAGAAAUAACAAGGGACCAUAGCAGGUGUGUGAGCCGUGCAAUGGCAAAAAGAGGAAAUGACAGGAAAGAGGAUGGAUAGGAUGUAUAAUUAACUGACUCUGGAGAAAAUAUGAGGAAUCAAGGAAGGGUAUGAUUCUGAGCCUUAGAAACUAAGGGAAAGAUGAUAUCUAUAACAGGCUGGGCAUGGUGGCUCACUUCUGUAAUCACAGCACUUUGGGAGGCUGAGGUGGGAGGAUCACUUGAGGUCAGGAGUUUGAGACCAGCCUGGCCAACAUGGUGAAACCCCAUCUCCACAAAAAAUACAAAAAUUACUCUGGUGUGGUGGUGCAUGCCUGUAAUCCCAGCUACUCAGGAGGCUGAAGCAGGAGAAUCACUUGAACACAGGAGGUGAAGGUUGCAGUGAGCCGAGAUCACACCACUAUACUCCAGCCUGGGCAACGGAGCAAGACUCCAUCUAAGAAUAAUGAUAUCUGUAAUGGCAUUUGGGAGGAUUAAAGGGGAGGAAAUUUGAUGGAACAGCAGGGCAUCAAGUGGAACGUGUCACAAGCAGAUCUGUAGCUUAGAACUCAGGGGAGGGGGAAGCCCUGGUGAACAGAUAGGGACUUAGCAAUGACCAAAGAUGAGAAUAAGCAAAAUUAGCUGAAAUAGAGGGUAAAACCAGAGCACCAAGGACUUGGCCUUGUGGGACAUCCACAGUUACAAAAGGGGAAGAAAAAGUGAAAGCAGUUUAAAAACUGGAAGCAUCAGAAGAGGUAGUGAUCCGGGACAGCAGAGCAUCCUAACAGCCAACAGGAGAGAGGUAAAAGGAAGAGCAGUCAACACUGCUGGAUGCUGCAGAGGAGUGAAGGAAAAUGGGGGCUGAAGGAAAAACGGUUUCAUUCAGUGACUCGGAAACAACAGCAGUGACUUCAGAGAGGGCAAUUGCCAAGAGAAAGGUGAGAGAGGAAGCUAGAUUACGAACUGCAGAGAAGCAAAUGCUAGUUGAUUUCUAGUCAAGAUGGGGCUUUGAGGACCACGCCAAUCCAAAAUGAUAGUGAUAAUAGAUUUAAUAUAAAAUGGGAAAAAUGUAAGGCAUUUUCACACUUAAAAACAUCUCCAUAGCCCAGAAAUGGAACAGAAACAAUAUGGUAAGUAGCCUGAAGAUGUAGACCAGCUCAAUUCUGCCAACAGCAAACAGAGGCAUCCAGGGGCAAGACUCAUACAGGGUACUAAGAACUAAAUAACCCAUGUGAGGCAGAAGACUCACAUGAAAUCAAGGGCUGGGAUAAGGCUACCCCCUUGAAAGGAAUUGCCUAGGGCUACAGGCUUGUAAACAUCUGUAUACCUAGGGACAUGGAAGAACCAGGCAUAGUCUUAAAGACGGAAUUUGACCCUAGAGAAGGAACUGGAUCUACAAUACUAUAGGAUAAAACCGAGGUCUAGGCCUGGGAGGCCCAGAAAGUAGGUAACGGCAAAACUAUGAGACCAGGAAGGUUAAGCCUAGGGGGACAGGAAGGAAGGAAUGAAGGAAGAGAAGAAGGAACAGAGAAAAGGAGAGAGGGAGAGAAAUAAGAAAGACUGCCAAAAAUAGAAACCACAACAUGGAGAAGCAUUCACACCAGGUAAAAACAAAAUACUAGAGUAUCUGAAAAUUACUUCUUUAAAAAGAAUUUGUUCAAGACUUUCAAAGGAAUUAAGCAGAGGAAUAACAUUCAUAAAAAUUAUGAAGCACGAACCGUCAGAAAUAAAAUAGCUAUGAUUAUGAAGAAUAACAAAUUAAAAUCCUGAGAAUUAAAAAUACAGUCAUAGAAAAGUUUUUUUUUGUUUUGAGACAGAGUUUCACUCUUGGUGCCCAGGCUGGAGUGCAAUGGCAUGAUCUUGGCUCACCGCAACCUCCGCCUCAUGGAUUCAAGAGAUUCUCCUGCCUCAGCCUCCCUAGUAGCCGGGAUUACAGGCGCCUGCCACCAUGGCCAGCUAAUUUUUUGUAUUUUUAGUAGACACAGGGUUUCACUAUGUUGGCCAGGCUGGUUUGGAACUCCUGACCUCAGGUGAUCCACUCUCCUCAGCCUCCCAAAGUGCUAGGAUUACAGGUGUGAGCUACCAUGUCCAGCUCAGUCAUAGAAAUUUUUAAAAGAAAGAAAGAACAAUGAAUAGGAUAAACUCUGAAAUGAACACACUUAGAAAAUUGGGAAAUAGUACAAUAUUGCUAAACUGACCCAUGACAAAAUAUUGCACCCGCAGAGUUAAGAGACAUAUACGGUAGGCAGGGAGACCUCAACAUACCACUGCUAAGAGUUUCUGAUGAAGAGCAGUUUGGUGAUUAAUACAUUCAUUUAUUCUUUUUUUUUUUUUUCAGAUGGAGUCUCGCUGUGUUGCCCAGGCUGGGGUGCAAUGGCGCAAUCUUGGCUCACUGCAACCUCCACUUCUUGGGUGCAAGUGAUUCUCCUGCCUCAGCUUCCUGAGUAGCUGGGAUUAUAGACGCGCACCACCAUGCCCAGCUAAUUUUUGUAUUUUUAGUAGAGAUGGAGUUUCACCAGCUUUGGCCAAGCUGGUCUCAAACACCUGACCUUGUGAUCCACCCAUCUUGGCCUCCCAAAGUGCUGGGAUUACAGGCAUGAGCCACCACGCCUGGCCCAUUUAUUUAAUUCUUAGAAUGAAAAAAAAUAUAUUGGCAACAAGUAUCCAACUGAAGAAGCUGAAAAGAAUGUUAGUGAAAAUCCAAAUAAAGAGGAAGAAACUAACAUGCAGGCACAGAGAUUAAUAAAACACACACACAGAUACA